rnacentral:rRNA from 1 species
AUACCGGGCCUUUUUGGGCUUGGUAAUUGGAAUGAGGGAGAGUUAAACUGACCAUCGAGUAUCCAUUGGAGGGCAAGUCUGGUGCCAGCAGCUGCGGUAAUACCAGCUCCAAUAGCGUAUAUUAAAGUUGUUGCAGUUAAAAAGCUCGUAGUUGGACUUGUGUGCGCUGUCCGCGGGUGGCCUGCGCCCAAAAGGGCGUUUCGGUUCGGCCCCGGUGGCGCCUUGAAAUCUGCAGCUGGGGGGACGUUGGCCUUAACUGGUCGGCGACCGCACGCCGGCUGCUCGGUUACUGUGAGAAAAUUAGAGUGUUCAAGGCAGGCAUUGGGUGCAAUUGAAUACAUUAGCAUGGAAUAAUAAAAUAUGGCUCCUGCCGUAUUUUGUUGGUUUUGACUGGUGGGAGUAAUGAUUGAUAGGGACGGUUGGGGGUGCUAGUAUUGAGCGGCCAGAGGUGAAAUUCAUGGAUUCGCUCAAGACUAACUUAUGCGAAAGCAUUCACCAAGGACGUCCUCUUUAAUCAAGAACGAAAGUUGGGGGAUCGAAGACGAUCAGAUACCGUCGUAGUCUCAACCAUAAACUAUGUCGACUUGGGAUCGGCGGUAGUUUUUUUCAUUAAGACACUGUCGGGACCACGGGAGAAAUCAAAGUGUCUGGACUCUGGGGGAAGUAUGGUCGCAAGGCUGAAACCUGAAGGAAUUGACGGAAGGGCACCACCAGGAGUGGAGCCUGCGGCUUAAUUUGACCCAACACGGGGAAACUUACCAGGUCCAGAGAUGUAGAGGAUUGACAGAUUGAAGCUCUUUCUUGAUCACUUCGGUGGUGGUGCAUGGCCGUUCUUAGUUGGUGGAGUGAUUUGUCUGGUUAAUUCCGUUAACGAACGAGACCUCAGCCUGCUAGUGUAGUCGGCUGGAUUGCCUUUGGCGAUCCGUGAUUUCGACUUCUUAGAGGGACAAUCGACGCGCAGUCGAUGGGAGUUUGAGGCAAUAACAGGUCUGUGAUGCCCUUAGAUGUUCUGGGCCGCACGCGCGCUACACUGCUGGGCUCGGCGAGUUUUACUUGGCCGAGAGGCCCGGUUAAUCUUGUGAAAUCCCAGCGUGCUUGGGCUCGCCUCCUGCAACUGGAGGCGCCAACGAGGAAUUCCUAGUAGACGCAGGUCAUCAACCUGCAUCGAUUACGUCCCUGCCCUUUGUACACACCGCCCGUCGUUCCAUAAGAGUGAGGCAUCCGGUGAAUUCUCGGGAGAGCCUGGGCGUGGCCAGCAAUGGUCUGCUCGGGUUUGAACUUGCAUAAACUUGGUGCCUAUGAUUAGGGAAAAGUCGUAACAAGGUUUCCGUAGGAACCUGCGGAAG